rnacentral:rRNA from 2 species
UAAACGACUCUCGGCAACGGAUAUCUCGGCUCUUGCAUCGAUGAAGAACGUAGCGAAAUGCGAUACUUGGUGUGAAUUGCAGAAUCCCGUGAACCAUCGAGUCUUUGAACGCAAGUUGCGCCCGAAGCCAUUAGGCCGAAGGCACGUCUGCCUGGGCGUCACGC